rnacentral:lncRNA from 1 species
GGGCUGGUGGGGCGGUCGCGGGCGCCUCUCCAAGGGAGCUGAUUCAUUGUCUGGUAGGCCCUCUGCAGGGCCCAGCUGGCGGCCCAGUGGCAAAGCGCCGUUGGUCCUCCGUUUGAAAACCAUGAUCGCGGUUAGUGGAAAGAGUAGGCUGAGUCCUGAUUUUUAAACUAUACGGUGUUACAAUGUGCAUCUGCGUAAGCCUGAGAUCAUAUUGAAAUCCUGCCCAGAAUAUGGAGCUUCAAAGAAGACUAGAUCCAUGGGCCCCCGCGCCGAGCCGGCGAAAGAGAUCGUGGACGUCCAUCUUUACCCAGAAAGCGCCACAGUUCUACGGCGCCUGCGCAGACUACUUCCCAGGCCCCGGGCAGCGUCGGAAGAGGGCGUGAGCAUAAUUGGCUCCUGUAGGCGGAGCCUGGCUGGGUGGAAUUGGGCAAAUAAGUACAUUUAUUAUAGAUAAUGGAAUUCAUUUUCCUCACAGAGAGAAGAGAGUUACAAAUUAGAACAGGACAAAAGUAGAAUGAAUCGUAUAGUGUUGGAUUAGACUUGGAAUGACAGUAUAAAACUCAUGUUUUUUAAGAAAGGUAAAGAAACAGAAACUCAAAGAAGUAACCAGGUGGUGAUGAAGUUAUCUGGAAAUGUCAACCAAACCCAGAAGACUACACAAGACUACAGGAGAAGGCACUCUGGGGGAAGAAAAGGGUGCUAGCUCCUGCUCUGGCCAGAUUCCCUCUGAGCGACUUGUGGAGUCUUACUGGGGGAUUCAACUCUUCUUCACCUCAAUCAGCAGUAAAGCCUACACAGACACUGGGAGCAUGAACAGAUUCAAGUUUUCGCAUCAGUUUGUUCGAUGAAGGAUCACAACAUAGACAGUACGGCUUUCUUGCUUCCUCUUCGGAGGUUCCUUGUCUCCCACCUCCAGGACAGACAGGAGUCCUUGACAUCGUGGGAGAGGCAUUGUGGCAAUACUGCAUAGAAGGGAAACUGGGCUUCGGGCUGCGCCUCCUGAGAGUGGAUUGUCUGAGGUGCCAGCAGGACGUCCGUCAGGUUUCAGGUGGAGGAGAGAGAAAACGGCUUGUGACCUUGCAGGUUUCAAAAGAAGAGCAAACAAGAAGGGCAGAUAA